rnacentral:rRNA from 1 species
GACGAACGCUGGCGGCGUGCCUAAUACAUGCAAGUCGAGCGCAGGAAAUCGACGGAACCCUUCGGGGGGAAGUCGACGGAAUGAGCGGCGGACGGGUGAGUAACACGUAAAGAACCUGCCCUCAGGUCUGGGAUAACCACGAGAAAUCGGGGCUAAUGCCGGAUGGGUCAUCGGACCGCAUGGUCCGAGGAUGAAAGGCGCUUCGGCGUCGCCUGGGGAUGGCUUUGCGGUGCAUUAGCUAGUUGGUGGGGUAAUGGCCCACCAAGGCGACGAUGCAUAGCCGACCUGAGAGGGUGAUCGGCCACACUGGGACUGAGACACGGCCCAGACUCCUACGGGAGGCAGCAGUAGGGAAUCCUCCACAAUGGACGAAAGUCUGAUGGAGCAACGCCGCGUGAACGAUGAAGGCCUUCGGGUCGUAAAGUUCUGUUGUAAGGGAAGAACAAGUGCCGCAGGCAAUGGCGGCACCUUGACGGUACCUUGCGAGAAAGCCACGGCUAACUACGUGCCAGCCGCCGCCGUAA